GGAUCAUUAGUGCUAAUCAACUAUUUUAAAAACACGUGCUGAUAGAAAGUGUGCACCCAUAGCAUUUAAGGUUUCAAUAAUAGCAUUUUCUGGCUUCGACUUGACUCAACCUAUCUGGACGUUGGAUCUAUUGUUGGGUUUUUUGUCGUUAGGUUUUUGUGGACCGCAGUACCACUUAAUUUAUUAGGCUCAUCCAACUCAACUUAUUAGUCUUCUGGACCUAUUGUCACAAGGUAGGAAUUUGGACAUAUUUUAGCCCAAUAAUAAAUAGCCAACGCCUCCAACUUUUAAUAUUGAGUGUCAUCAUUUUUUUUAUUCUCUCCUUUUUAUUUAUGGCGACGGCGAGACCUACGAUAGCGAU
rnacentral:lncRNA from 1 species